rnacentral:rRNA from 1 species
AGAGUUUGAUCCUGGCUCAGGAUGAACGCUGGCGGCGUGCCUAAUACAUGCAAGUCGAACGAGGUGCUUUUGUAGCAAUACGAAAGUAUCCUAGUGGCGAACGGGUGAGUAACGCGUUGGUGACCUGCCCCAAAGUGUGGGAUAACAGUCCGAAAGGACUGCUAAUACCGCAUGUGGUUAUUGGCUCUAGAAACCGGUAACUAAAGGAGAAAUUCGCUUUGGGAGGGACCUGCGUCCCAUCAGCUAGUUGGUGAGGUAAUGGCUCACCAAGGCGACGACGGGUAGGGGACCUGAGAGGGUGGCCCCCCACAAUGGAACUGAAACACGGUCCAUACACCUACGGGUGGCAGCAGUAGGGAAUAUUGCACAAUGGGCGAAAGCCUGAUGCAGCAACGCCGCGUGUGUGAUGAAGGCCUUCGGGUCGUAAAGCACUUUUCUGGGAGAUGAGAAAGGACAGUAUCCCAGGAAUAAGUCUCGGCUAACUACGUGCCAGCAGCCGCGGUAAAACGUAGGAGGCGAGCGUUAUCCGGAUUCACUGGGCGUAAAGCGCGUGCAGGUGGCGCGGUAAGUUGGGCGUGAAAUCUCCCGGCUCAACUGGGAGAGGUCCUCCAAUACUACCGUGCUUGAAAACAGAAAAGGAAGAUGGAAUUCCCGGUGUAAUGGUGAAAUGCGUAGAUAUCGGGGGGAACACCAGUGGCGAAGGCGAUCUUCUGGUCUGUUUCUGACACUCAGACGCGACAGCUAGGGUAGCAAACGGGAUUAGAGACCCCGGUAAUCCUAGCCGUAAACGAUGUGAACUGGUCGUUGGUGGGUUGAAACUCCAUCAGUGCCGUAGCAAACGCGAUAAGUUCACCGCCUGGGGACUACGGCCGCAAGGUUAAAACUCAAAGGAAUUGACGGGGGCCCGCACAAGCAGCGGAGCGUGUGGUUUAAUUCGAUGCUACACGAAGAACCUUACCCAGGCUUGACAUACAGGUGGUAGGGAUCCGAAAGGUGACCGACCCGCAAGGGAGCCUGUACAGGUGUUGCAUGGCUGUCGUCAGCUCGUGUCGUGAGAUGUUCGGUUAAGUCCGCUAACGAGCGCAACCCUCGCUGCGUGUUACAAGUGUCACGCAGGACCGCCGGUAUUAAGCCGGAGGAAGGUGGGGAUGACGUCAAGUCAGCAUGGCCUUUAUGCCUGGGGCUACACACACGCUACAAUGGGCAGUACAAUGGGUUGCUAAGCCGCGAGGUGGAGCCAAUCCCCCAAAACUGUCCUCAGUUCAGAUUGCAGGCUGCAACUCGCCUGCAUGAAGCCGGAGUUGCUAGUAAACGCGCGUCAGCUAUAGUGCGUUGAAUACGUUCUCGGGCCUUGUACACACCGCCCGUCACGUCAUGGGAGCUGGUAACACCUGAAGCCGGUAGCCUAACCGCAAGGAGGGCGCCGUCGAAGGUGGGGCUGGUGACUGGGACGAAGUCGUAACAAGGUAGCCGU